rnacentral:rRNA from 1 species
AGAGUUUGAUCCUGGCUCAGGAUAAACGCUGGCGGCGCACAUAAGACAUGCAAGUCGAACGGAAGUCGUUAUAAAAAGGAUUGAAGAUUUAUCUGAUUGAGAUUUUAUAACAAUGGCUUUAGUGGCGGACUGGUGAGUAACGCGUGAGCAACCUGCCUACUAGAGGGGAAUAACAGUGAGAAAUCAUUGCUAAUACCGCAUAUGCCAUGAACAUCACAUGAUGAAAAUGGGAAAAGAGUAAUCUGCUAGUAGAUGGGCUCGCGUCUGAUUAGAUAGUUGGUGGGGUAACGGCCUACCAAGUCGACGAUCAGUAGCCGGACUGAGAGGUUGAACGGCCACAUUGGGACUGAGAUACGGCCCAGACUCCUACGGGAGGCAGCAGUCGGGAAUAUUGCGCAAUGGAGGAAACUCUGACGCAGUGACGCCGCGUGCAGGAAGAAGGUUUUCGGAUUGUAAACUGCUUUAGACAGGGAAGAAUAAAGACAGUACCUGUAGAAUAAGCUCCGGCUAACUACGUGCCAGCAGCCGCGGUAAUACGUAGGGAGCAAGCGUUAUCCGGAUUUAUUGGGUGUAAAGGGUGCGUAGACGGGACAACAAGUUAGUUGUGAAAUCCCUCGGCUUAACUGAGGAACUGCAACUAAAACUAUUGUUCUUGAGUGUUGGAGAGGAAAGUGGAAUUCCUAGUGUAGCGGUGAAAUGCGUAGAUAUUAGGAGGAACACCAGUGGCGAAGGCGACUUUCUGGACAAUAACUGACGUUGAGGCACGAAAGUGUGGGGAGCAAACAGGAUUAGAUACCCUGGUAGUCCACACCGUAAACGAUGGAUACUAGGUGUAGGAAAUGAUUUCAUUUUCUGUGCCGUCGCAAACGCAAUAAGUAUCCCACCUGGGGAGUACGGCCGCAAGGUUGAAACUCAAAGGAAUUGACGGGGGCCCG